UGGUAGGGAUGGAGGGACUCGAACCCACACCCGAAGACUAGAACCUAAAUCUAGCGCGUCUGCCAAUUUCGCCACAUCCCC
rnacentral:tRNA from 1 species